CCUCGGGGGGCAGCAGUGGGGAAUAUUGGACAAUGGGCGAAAGCCUGAUCCAGCCAUGCCGCGUGUGUGAAGAAGGCCUUCGGGUUGUAAAGCACUUUCAGUGGGGAAGAAAGCCUUGGGGCUAAUACCCUCGAGGAAGGACAUCACCCACAGAAGAAGCACCGGCUAACUCCGUGCCAGCAGCCGCGGUAAUACGGAGGGUGUGAGCGUUAAUCGGAAUUACUGGGCGUAAAGCGCGCGUAGGCGGUCUGAUAAGCCGGUUGUGAAAGCCCCGGGCUCAACCUGGGAACGGCAUCCGGAACUGUCAGGCUAGAGUGCAGGAGAGGAAGGUAGAAUUCCCGGUGUAGCGGUGAAAUGCGUAGAGAUCGGGAGGAAUACCAGUGGCGAAGGCGGCCUUCUGGACUGACACUGACGCUGAGGUGCGAAAGCGUGGGUAGCAAACAGGAUUAGAUACCCUAGUAGUC
rnacentral:rRNA from 1 species